rnacentral:lncRNA from 14 species
GUAGUGUUAGAUGGCAGUGAGAGCAGAGUCAGCAUUGCCUCCACUGCCAGUACUGAGUGUCCUGAGUCUAGCUUCACCCUGUCUUCUAUGAGCUCCACUGAGGCAGAGUGUGCCUUUAAAGUAUGCAAGGAACAACCAGCCAAGAGGCAAGAGGUAACACAGCAUGAACAGGACAGGCUGCAAGCAGUGAAGGCAAAAGCUUUGCAGGAGGCUCUCACUUACAUGACCAGCAUCCCAUCAGAGAGGGAGAGAGAAACAGGAACAGACGAGAAUUCCAGAAAAGUGGAAAGAAAUGCAUAAAACUGCUCCCAACCAGGUUAUUAAUGACAUAACAGAUCAAAACCCAGAGUCACUACAAAAGUAAAACCAGGAAGCUGGAGACGCCACAGAAAUGCUGUUAAGGGCUGUUCGUGAGCAUGUGGAACAGACCUUAGAAAAUUUAAAAGGAAAGGACAGACUCCUAGCCAUCCAAAGGCAACAAACAAGGAGCUAUGAGGAGAAAACAGAAGAACAGCUGAAUGUCUUGCACAAAGACUUAAAAUAUGCUAAGGCAGUACUGAAAGAAAAGGAUAUUGUGAUCAAAUCUCAGAAGGAAGUGAUUGAGACCUUCCAAAACCAAGAACAAGACUCUGAACAGCAGAAGAAAAUUCUGCAACAACUUGAAGUGGCACUAAAGGAAAAAGAUCAAGAAAUUGUAUCCCUUAGGAAGCAAUGCGAGGCAUGCAGGGAAAAGGAGGAAAAGCAUGGAGCUGAGCAAAAAAAUCUGCAAGCAACAAAACGGACUCUGAAAGAGAGAGAAAAGAAGCAGGCUACUGCAGAAGGAGUGCAGCAAUCGUGGCUCUUGGAGAAGAAGCUCCUGUCGCAGCAGCUGGAAAACUUGCAGCAAGUAGUUGCAAGGCUGAAACUUACCAACACUGAGCUGAAGAAAUUCAGUGCUGAACUCAAGAAGACUCUUGAGGAGGUGGAAUGUCAAUGGAGGAAACUGAUGAGGCUCCACUGUGAUCAGUCGCUGACAGGUGCAAGUGGAUCUUCCUUCUCCAAGCCUCACCGGCACAAGAUGCCUGCUUCUAGACAGGAGGAGUCCUAUGAACACUGCAGGCAUCAAUGACCUGACUUGCAGAACCAGGGGAGAAGCCAGAAAGCUCUCACUUCUUGAGCAGCUGCAGCACCCCGUGGUUCCUGUCCUGUACCUUUCCCAGAACCAUCUUCUUUUACUGCUGUGGGACAGAGGGGUGGGUUUGUUCUCUUGACAUUUAGAAGUAGUUUACAUAUGGGCAGGGACUCCUAACUUUCCUGUUUUGUUUCUUAAUAAAAGACAUUCUGCAAUCGCUCA